CAGGGAAGCCAAAAGAUUGGACACCCCAGCUUUAAAUGUAGAGUAUUUAAGAGGUUCAGUUAAAUGUACUAAAUCAGACUUGUGUGAUUUAGACACAAAAUCUGUGUGUGUGUGUGUUUGGUCUUUUAAAAGAUACUGCAUGUACAAACAUGAUUUCUAAUAAUUGAGGGUUUAUUAAGUUUUUCCCUUUAGGCUAAAGUUUUAUUUUAUUCUGCUUGGAUAGUAAAUACAGCAUUUUAAAAUGAUGAUGCUAAGUGCUUUUUUAAUAUAUGCAUGCUGCUUCAAUAGGUCUUUUAAAUAUAGCCAAGGCAGGGUAAUAUUUCCUGAGUGAUGAUAGAAUUAUAGAAAAUCAUGAAAGAUGUGUGCCCAUGUUUCAUUUUAUAACUGUUCCAGUCAUAUUGCUAUGAAUUCUAGAAUUUUAAAACCUGCCACACUUAUUUUGGAUGUUAUAUACACAUAAUGCCUCAAAUUUCCAUUAUUUCAUAUUAUUUUUCUCCAUUUCCCUCGUGUCAAGUUUCAUUUUGUUUUCAAUGUUUUGUUUUUAUAAUAUUGCCAUUUUAAUGGCUUCAAUCAUGCUAUGACAGAUUGUGCCAAUUUAGCUUUAAAAAACUCAUGGGCUACCUCCAUGAACUCACACAUGCGGCAUUGUUAAAGAACCUUUUUUAAAAUUAAAUUUUCUCCAGCUUUUCAUUUUGCAGCAUACAAAAAAAUUGAAAAAUUGGUAUACCACCUAAAUCCAACCAUUAUUAACAUUUUGCCACACUAGCUUUAUCUCUGUUGGGACACUUUACCCCUACAUACUCCAGCAUGCGUGACCUAAAGAUAUGGACAUCUUCUUAAUUAACCUCAGUGCCAUUAUGACACCUAAGAAAAUUUAAAUUAAUUCAGGUCACUUCAUCUAAGUUCAAAUUCAAAUACAAUUGCCCCUCUGUAAACGUGGGGGAUUGGUUCCAGGACCCCCACCUCGUGUAUACCAAAAUUUGGGCACACUCAAGUCCUUAAGGGGAAACCGCGUAUAAGAAAAGUCAGCCCUCCCUAUGGGUGGGUUUCACAUCCUGCAAAUAACUGUGUUUUCCAUCUGCAUUUGGCUGAAAAAAAAUCUGCAUAUAAGUGGACCCAUGCAGUUCAAAUCUGUUGUUCAAGAGUCAACUGUAUUCCCAGUUGUCUCAAAAAUGAUUUUUUAUAGCUUUUUUGUUUUGGAACGAGGGUAAAAUCAAGGUUAAUGCUUUGUAUUUGAUUGUCUCCUUUGGUCUUGAAGUCCCCUUCCUGCACCACCACCUGCCCCUCAAUGGCUUUUUUAUACCAAGAGACUGAAAAUGCUACCUCUAAUGACUUUUCUCCCCAUGAUAGUACUCUUUGAAGGACCAAAGUUACUUUGCUCCUAUUAUGUGGUUUGAUUUGUUCCCUUUAUUCCUUUCAUGUCCUUUGAACUGGAAGUCAAGUCUAUAGGUUUGAUUACCUUCAGGUUAAAUGUAUUGGGUAAAAAUAUUUCACAGAUUUUAUAUUGUAUCAUAUUAAAAGGCACAGAUAAUCUCAUUAUUAAUGUUGGUAAUUAUUUGGUUAAGAUGAUGACUACCCCAUUGUAAAGGUUAUUGUAAAGUUCUCCCUGUGGUAAAGGUCAUUUGUUCACCCUUAGUAAUCUAUGGAGUAAUGUUUUAGCACCAGGAGAAUAUUCUGUUUCCCAAUGCCUUUAGCAUCAAUUGAUGAUUCUUGACUGAAUCAUUUAUUACACUGGGGUGCAAAAUGGUGAUAAAUUUUUUUUAGUGCUCUAAAUUUCUUCUACAUUUAUUAGUUUAUAUUCUUUUUUAAAAUAAAAAAGUAUAUUUCCCUCCUGUUUCUCUAAUAUCCCUCUUUAAAAAAAAGACCAUGUCUUCAUGAAUUUAAAAAAAAUUACUCAAUAUAUUAUAGCCAAUCGGUCACAGUUCUUUUUGAUGCUCAUAUAUAUUGUGAGCCUCUAGCCCAUGUAAGUCACAGCAAGCUAGCUCUUGGGUUUUUUUUGAGAUGGAGUUUCACUCUGUCACCCAAGCUGGAGUGCAGUGGCACGAUCUCGGCUCACUGCAACCUCCACCCUCCGGGUUCAAAUGAUUCUCCUUCCUCAGCCUCCUGAGUAGCUGGGACUAUAGGUGCCUGCCACCGCGCCUGGCUAAUUUUUUGUAUUUUUAGUAGAGAUGGGGUUUCACCAUCUUGGCCAGGCUGGUCUUGAACUCCUGACCUCGUGAUCCACCCGCCUCGGCCUCCCAAAGUGCUGGGAUUACAGGCAUGAGCCACCGCGCCCGGCCACUCUUGUGUUUUUUAAACAUGACCACAUUAGUCUUUUAGUCCUUAUUUGCUUUAGGCACAAGAAAUCUGAGGCUUACCUUAUAUUUGUCUUGUUCCAAAUUUGGAUUAUCAGCUAAUUCUCCAAGGAGCCCUAUACCUUUUAAGGGGAGUGGGAUUUAUUUAAUUUUUUCUUUGGAGUCCUUCUAGCCAGUGAAUGGAAUUUAUUAUAGAAUCCAUUGUUACUGAGCUGUCAUUGUUUCUAGGCCAUUUUAGUGGACAUAGCUAGGAAAUACAAUUUUAAAAGAUCAUGAAUUCAAAUUAAUAUUUACAACUAAAAUUUAGCAACAUGGCCAGGUGCAGUGGCUCAUCCCUGUAAUUCCAGCACUUUGGGAGUCUGAGGUGGGAGGAUCACUUAAGGCCAGGGGUUCAAGACCAGCCUGGGCAACAGAGUGAGAUCCUGUCUCUACAAAAAAAAAAAAAAAGAUAAAUUUUUUCGAAAAGUUUUAUAUGAAAAGUGUACUCUGAAAAAAUCUAGCUGUCAUACCUAUCCCUCCAUUCCUAACCAUCUCUUAUAAGUAAUUAUUAUCCAUCUCUUAUAAGUAAUUAUUAUAAGUAUUUUCUUAGUUUUCCAAUUUAUCUUUCAUGUGUUUCUUUUUAAAAAGCAAACAAAUAUGCAUAUUGCUGUACUUACUGUGCCUCUUUCACAACAUGGGGUCUUUAUAAAAUUUCUUUGGAUGUUUAGAAAGGUUUGUAUGCUCUAAUUUAUACUGAUAACAUUUUAUAUAAUGCAUUUAGAGUCCCCAAUUUGCUUGUCUAGGCCUCUACUAUUUAAUUUGACACCUUUAAAUGAUGUUCUUUGACUCUUAUCUAAUUGUCUAUGUGACCGUCAGUGAAUAUAUUAUCUGUUCAUAUUUUCUGUAGUCUUAUUUCUUUUUGAUUAGAACAUAUAAUAUUUACACACUAUUUUCCCAUCCUAAUCCCCACCUUUGUAAUAAAAUUAAUUAAAAUUUUAAAAAAGUAUAUUUAAUAACCUACUGAUACUUACCUGAAGUCUCUCUGGUCAACUUUUGGCUGGAUGAAGCUCUUCUGUAGAGUAUUCAAGGAGGGCUUGUAAGUACUGUACAAUAUUCUCUGAGUUGUGACAUGUUUAAAAUUUCUUCUGGAGCCUAGAUACUUAAAGUACACCUUGGCCAUGUAGAAAAUCCUUGACAAACAUUUCCUUUUCUUGAGUUUGUCUGAAUUUGUGCUUCACUGUUGGGUUGCUUGAUGUUAUCAUCAAGAAGUGUGGCACCACUUGAUUUUUUUCCCUUUUGGAAAUGACAUUUUGUUUGUUGUUUUUUACCUAGAGACCCAGAUAAUUUUUUCUAUAUUAUUUUAUCUAUGAUCCUUUUUAUCUCAUUUUUGUUCUCAUAGCUGUUUUAUUCCUCUUCUCUGUAUUUCUUACUUUACUUUUAUUUGUGUCUCUCAGGUACCCUGUGAUUUAGUUUUCAUUUUUAGAUGAUUUUAUCUUUUCAGUAUAUUGCCUAUGUUUGUUCAACUCUCAUUUUACAUCUUACUAUUGAGUUUAAAAAUUUUUAUUUGCUGUGUUCUUUUAUAUGUGCAAUUAAUGAUAUUCAUGUUGGAGUGUUGUAUAUUAUUUGCCUCUGCUUCAUAUUGUCUAGAGGGUAGUAUUUUCUAUUGAUUGAAAAGUUUUCAUUUUCUGUUUUUUAUAAUAGCCUUGUAUGGAUUUUUGGUGGCUUUUCUAUUCAUGAUUAAAUGUGUAGGAUCUUCUUCAAUCAGCAAUAACAGGUGGCUCUAUAGAAUGGAGGGUAGAAGGGAUGUGGGUGACUUACUCAGUUUUUAGUUAAAGAGGACCCUCUUCUGUUAGCAUGGUGAAGUGCAGUUUCUUUAAUAAAUUGUGCAUGGUGGGGGUGGGAUUUGGAUUCUGUGAUACAAUCUUGUUUCUUUAGGAAUCUUUUACUUUUGGCCACUUGCCUUUCUUUCCAAGGAAUCCCACUCCCUUUCAAGGUGCCUCAUGAACUGUUUUCAUGAACUUUCCAAACAUUGGUUUCUGCUUGUUUCUAAGCCUGAUUCUUGGCCUUCUCAUUAAUUUUCAAAACUUCCAAUAUCCUUCCAAAUAAUUCCCUUUUGCUUACGUUAGCGAGUACUAGUUUGUUAGCCAGUGUUAGUUUCUGUUGAUCCUAACCAAAAAACCCUAACUGAGAUAUCAGUCUCUUAGCGCAAAGUUUGUGAAUACGGUCAUCCCUCCAUAUGAGGAGGGGAGUGGGAAUUGGUUGUGGGACUUCCGUGGAUAUCCAAAUCAGUGGAUGCUAAAGUCCCUUACAUAAAAUGGCAUAGUAUUUGGUUAUCAUCCUCCCCAUACAUCAUCUCUAGAUUAUUUAUAGUACUUAAUACAAUGUAAUGCUGUGUAGUCAUACUGUAUUUUUUACUUGUAUUUUUGUUGUUUUGUGGGAUUUAAAAAAUAUUUUUAUUCUGAGGAUAGUUGAAUCCACAGGAUACUGAGGGCCAGCUGUAUUCACAACCCAAAUCACAUACAAAGCGACAAGUUCAUACACAAUAGGCCUAUUAGAACAGGACUGUUCUCUCUUGUUUAUCAUUGCAGCCUUUCUAGCACAAAGCCUGGGACAUUCUGGACAUUUAGUAUGUGUUAAAUUUCUCUUACUACAUUAUUUCCAACAGUAUUUACUGCAAUCUGCAAUUACCUUCCUUUUGUUUUGUAACUGUGUCCCCCACUAGAAUGUAAGCUCUGUGCAGAUAGUGUCUCAUUUAUUGAUGUAUCCCUGGCAUCUAAUAAAACACUGACAACACAAGCA
rnacentral:lncRNA from 10 species